rnacentral:rRNA from 1 species
GAUGAACGCUGGCGGCGUGCUUAACACAUGCAAGUCGAACGGAAAGGCUCCUGCUUGCAGGGGUACUCGAGUGGCGAACGGGUGAGUAACACGUGGGUGAUCUGCCCUGCACUUCGGGAAAAGCCUGGGAAACUGGGUCUAAUACCGGAUAGGACGAUGGUUUGGAUGCCAUUGUGGAAAGUUUUUCGGUGUGGGAUGAGCUCGCGGCCUAUCAGCUUGUUGGUGGGGUAAUGGCCUACCAAGGCGUCGACGGGUAGCCGGCCUGAGAGGGUGUACGGCCACAUUGGGACUGAGAUACGGCCCAGACUCCUACGGGAGGCAGCAGUGGGGAAUAUUGCACAAUGGGCGCAAGCCUGAUGCAGCGACGCCGCGUGGGGGAUGACGGCCUUCGGGUUGUAAACUCCUUUCGCUAGGGACGAAGCGCAAGUGACGGUACCUGGAGAAGAAGCACCGGCUAACUACGUG